rnacentral:rRNA from 1 species
GACAGAGGGGGCAAGCGUUGCUCGGAAUUACUGGGCGUAAAGGGCGCGUAGGCGGGAUGGCAAGUCGGUCGUGAAAUCCUUCGGCUCAACCGAAGAACGUCGAUCGAUACUGCUGUUCUUGAGGGUUGCAGAGGAGACUGGAAUUCCCGGUGUAGCGGUGAAAUGCGCAGAUAUCAGGAGGAACACCGGUGGCGAAGGCGGGUCUCUGGGCAACAACUGACGCUGAGGAGCGAAAGCGUGGGGAGCGAACAGG